GGGUUGUGAGGUUAAGCGAAUAAGCGUACACGGUGGAUGCCUAGGCAAUCAGAGGCGAUGAAGGACGUGCUAAUCUGCGAAAAGCGUCGGUAAGGUGAUAUGAACCGUUAUACCCGACGAUAUCCGAAUGGGGAAACCCAGUAUCCAAUGAUACUAUCAUUAACUGAAUCCAUAGGUUAAUGAGGCGAACCGGGAGAACUGAAACAUCUCAGUACCCCGAGGAAAAGAAAUCAACCGAGAUUCCCCUAGUAGCGGCGAGCGAACGGGGAGCAGCCCAGAGUCUUAAUCAAUAGCAGUGUCAGGAGAACGGUCUGGAAAGUCCGGCAGUAAAGGGUGAUAGCCCCGUAUCUGAAGAUGCUGUUAUUGUGAACUCGACGAGUAGGGCGGGACACGUGUUAUCCUGUCUGAAUAUGGGGGGACCAUCCUCCAAGGCUAAAUACUCCUGAUUGACCGAUAGUGAACCAGUACCGUGAGGGAAAGGCGAAAAGAACCCCGGCGAGGGGAGUGAAAAAGAACCUGAAACCGUGUACGUACAAGCAGUAGGAGCCUCUUUAUGGGGUGACUGCGUACCUUUUGUAUAAUGGGUCAGCGACUUAUAUUCUGUAGCGAGGUUAACCGUAUAGGGGAGCCGUAGGGAAACCGAGUCUUAACUGGGCGAAUGAGUUGCAGGGUAUAGACCCGAAACCCGGUGAUCUAUCCAUGGGCAGGUUGAAGGUUGGGUAACACUAACUGGAGGACCGAACCGACUAAUGUUGAAAAAUUAGCGGAUGACUUGUGGAUGGGGG
rnacentral:rRNA from 1 species